rnacentral:rRNA from 1 species
GGCUGUAUGGUUGGUUUAUAUACAGUCCCGCCUGCCCACUGUAGUUUAGCUAUAAAUGGCCGCGGUAGCCUGACCGUGCAAAGGUAGCAUAAUUCCGUAGCGUUUUAAUUGAAGGCUUGGAUGAAAGGUUAGAAUCGAGGGAUAGACUGUCUCUUUCUUAUGGUUAGAAAUUAACUUUUCAGUGAAAAGGCUGGGAUGAUAUGAGGGGACGAUAAGUCCCUUUGAAACUUCAUAUAAUUUGAGUUGGUUGUUGUAAUUAAUAUUGUUGAAGUGACGAUCCGUGUUAGUUUAUAUUUCGCUGGGGCGGUGUUGACAUAAUUUGUAACUGUCUAUAGUGGGUCAUCUGCUAUCUAAUAAUCUAUGGUUAGGUUGGGUUUUGAGUUUAUUGAUCCUCUAUUAGAGAUUAAAAGAGAAAGUUACUCUAGGGGUAACAGCGUAAUUUUCUUUGAGAGCUCAUAUCGACAGGAAAAGUUGCGACCUCGAUGUUGGAUCUUGAUUUCCAUCUGGUGGAGAGACUAGAGUUGGUAGGUCUGUUCGACCUUUAAAAUCUAACGUGAUUUGAGUUUAAACCGGUGCAAG